GCGGUGGAGCAUGUGGUUUAAUUCGAAGCAACGCGCAGAACCUUACCAGCGUUUGACAUGGUAGGACGACUGGCAGAGAUUGCCUUUCUUCCCUUCGGGGACCUACACACAGGUGCUGCAUGGCUGUCGUCAGCUCGUGUCGUGAGAUGUUGGGUUAAGUCCCGCAACGAGCGCAACCCUCGACUUUAGUUACCAUCAUUAAGUUGGGUACUUUAAAGUAACCGCCGGUGAUAAGCCGGAGGAAGGUGGGGAUGACGUCAAGUCCUCAUGGCCCUUACGCGCUGGGCUACACACGUGCUACAAUGGCAAGUACAGUGGGCAGCAAUCCCGCGAGGGUGAGCUAAUCUCCAAAACUUGUCUCAGUUCGGAUUGUUCUCUGCAACUCGAGAGCAUGAAGGCGGAAUCGCUAGUAAUCGCGCAUCAGCCAUGGCGCGGUGAAUACGUUCCCGGGCCUU
rnacentral:rRNA from 1 species